rnacentral:rRNA from 1 species
CAGUAGCCGCGGGAAUACGGAGGGUGCAAGCGUUAAUCGGAAUUACUGGGCGUAAAGCGCACGCAGGCGGUUUGUUAAGUCAGAUGUGAAAUCCCCGAGCUUAACUUGGGAACUGCAUUUGAAACUGGCAAGCUAGAGUCUUGUAGAGGGGGUAGAAUUCCAGGUGUAGCGGUGAAAUGCGUAGAGAUCUGGAGGAAUACCGGUGGCGAAGGCGGCCCCCUGGACAAAGACUGACGCUCAGGUGCGAAAGCGUGGGGAGCAAACAGGAUUAGAGACCCGUGUAGUCCCUGUCUCUUAUACC